rnacentral:rRNA from 1 species
GACGAACGCUGGCGGCGUGCUUAACACAUGCAAGUCGAACGGUGACGAGGAGCUUGCUCCUCUGAUCAGUGGCGAACGGGUGAGUAACACGUGAGCAACCUGCCCCAGACUCUGGGAUAACAGUUGGAAACAGCUGCUAAUACCGGAUACGAGACGGAGAGGCAUCUCUACCGUCUGGAAAGUUUUUCGGUCUGGGAUGGACUCGCGGCCUAUCAGCUAGUUGGUGAGGUAAUGGCUCACCAAGGCGACGACGGGUAGCCGGCCUGAGAGGGCGACCGGCCACACUGGGACUGAGACACGGCCCAGACUCCUACGGGAGGCAGCAGUGGGGAAUAUUGCACAAUGGGCGAAAGCCUGAUGCAGCGACGCCGCGUGAGGGAUGAAGGCCUUCGGGUUGUAAACCUCUUUCAGCAGGGAAGAAGCGAAAGUGACGGUACCUGCAGAAGAAGCACCGGCUAACUACGUG